AACAUUCUGUCAAUGGUCUAUUGUUAAAGUGUGGACUUUGUCUCAGACUACGUCCUGUCUGUCUCACGGAGAAGCAUGCUGCUGAAGUGAAAUGGAAGGCCUUUUUUUUGUGUGUGUAGUCUCUGAAGGUGAAGAAAAAGGCAAAAUAAAUGCAGUAUCUCAAGAUAUUGCUACAUGCAACCCAAGGCCCACAGAACUUAUGUUGGAAAUUACCUGAUGAACUCGGGGAGCUAAGCUAUGUUUGAUUUACUGUAAAAACUCUAAGCUUUUUACACAAAAGGAAAGAGCAAAACAUCCAUUAUUGCCAAUACUAGUUAAAAUGGUAUGGAUAAGGAAGGAGAAAAUGUAAAUAUUUGAGUCUCAUAAAAAUAAUUCUUCUCUGAAUAACUAAAAGCUUCACAGAAAAGUCCUUAUACUUUGAUUGAAUCUAGUUUUAAAUCCUAGCUCUACAGUUUAUCUCUCUCAGAGACCGAGCCUUUCCCCCUGAUAAUGGCCAACAGGUCUGGACCUCUGGCAGGCUAAAGAUAACAUCUUGACCUAAGUUACAUUUCAGCUCCUGAGCCCCAAGGUGGAAUGACCCCUGGCUACUUUCCCAGGAGAUCACACAGACACCAGAAAAGACCUCAGAGCUGUCAAGACCUGAAGAAAUGACUCAUUAUCCUUACUUCACCUCCAACCAAUCAACUCCCGGCAUGACCCCCAACCCCUAAACCAGAGUUUCUUAUGAUUUUUCUCUAUAUGGUCUGUAAACUGCAUGCCAUUGUGGAAUCUGGGCUUUUGACUAUUAGCUUCCCAUUCUCCUGAAUGGUGUCACUCAUCAAUAAAAAUAGCCAAUAUUUCUCCACUGUAAUUCUUUGUGUCCAGUGUUUAGCUCUGCUAGCAUGGAGUGGAUGAACUCUUUCUGUUCUGUAACAGAAACUACUUCUGACUUGAAUGAUUGCUGUUAAAGAAAGAACAUGUUCUGUUAAAUCUGAGGAGAGAAUUGACAGCAUCUGACAAUAACCCCUUAAAUAAGAAUUCAGAUCUUACACUGCCCUGGCCUUUCUGACUGCCAGCUUGAUGGACAGUUUCCAGGUCCAGCAAAAGAAAAAUGCUAAAAACUGAGUAGUCAAGCAAGUAGAAACAAGGGCACAGGACCAAGAGAGAGUUGCAUAGGAUGUAAGUUUGGAUAAACAAGUUGGAACAGGAGAAACUGAAGAUGGUUAGUCAAAUCAUAAGGAGGGGAGCAGCUGAAGGAGUCUUGAGACCACAGUGAAUGUUAUAUGAUACUUUUGAGUAGAUGGACUUAGUCUAUUUUUUUUAAAACUGGGUUAAUUGCAAGAUAUUUUCUUUCUGUACAUUUAUCAACUUGAGUAUAAAUAUGGUUCCCCAAUUAUUCAAUGGUUUUCUUUUAAAGACACAUCCCUAUAAUUCAGGACAACUUCUAGAUGAUCUGGAAGACACUUCUGGGAACCUCAGAAUAGUUUUAGUAUGGCCAAUUUUUGCUUAGUCUUCAACGUCUGACUAAUUAGACAGUCUCUGAUCAACCGAAUGGUCAUUAAUAAUUCACCAAACCAUUUCCCCUAACUUGCAGGUACACAGGUAGACUAUACUUUCUAGUCCCUCUUGUAAUUAGGUGUCAUGAUAGGACUGAGUUCUGACCAAUAUAACUGAGUGGAAAUGACAUAUGAAAUUUCUAAGCCUCUUAUGAAAUCCUCCAAUUUUUCUCUUUCACUGACUGAUGGCUGGCUAGAGUUGGGACGAUAGAAUCACAAGCUGGAAGGAAAGCAAGCUCUUUCUACAAAGACCAGAGCAGAAGUCUUUCAUUGUUGCAGUGUUGCUGGUUAAGAGUAACAUGUGGAGCCACACAGCAUUAGUAUAAUCCAAGAGGGAAGGAGUGGGCGAGCCCAACAUCGCAAAGAAGUCAGAAAUGAGAAUGGAGGAAAGUGAGAGGUGGCCAACCAGGUGACAGGACACUAGGGACUGAAAAGUGAAGACCAGAAAAGAAGUUCUCAGUGGUAACAUGGCCACAAACUUCCAUGAACAGGGACAUCCAAUGCUUAAUUGUAUGUUUUUGCAGAGCCUUGACAAAAUAGCCCCCUUUUUCUUAACCUUAAUCUCCAGAUUAAGUAAAGAUACCAAAGCAAAGUGACUCUUUUCCUCUUUUGGGUAAAGACCCAGGAAGAAAGGGAAAAUGAAACCAUAUUAGGAGAGACAGAAAAUUCAAGGCAAAGUAAGAAAUCAGAACAAGAGAUAACUAGAGAAAACACGAGUUGUUGCAAUAUCAUGGUGGAGUUUCCACAUAUAUGUGACAUGGAACCUGGAACUAAAGGUACUUGUUGGUUAUAGAUCCAGUCGGACUUAGCACUCUGAAGCAC